UGCAGUCGAGCGAGAUCUUCGGAUCUAGCGGCGGACGGGUGAGUAACGCGUGGGAACGUGCCCUUUGCUACGGAAUAGUCCCGGGAAACUGGGUUUAAUACCGUAUACGCCCUUCGGGGGAAAGAUUUAUCGGCAAAGGAUCGGCCCGCGUUGGAUUAGGUAGUUGGUGGGGUAAUGGCCUACCAAGCCGACGAUCCAUAGCUGGUUUGAGAGGAUGAUCAGCCACACUGGGACUGAGACACGGCCCAGACUCCUACGGGAGGCAGCAGUGGGGAAUAUUGGGCAAUGGGCGAAAGCCUGAUCCAGCAAUGCCG
rnacentral:rRNA from 1 species